rnacentral:lncRNA from 1 species
UAUAAAUAGCAGUGUGUUCUCAGGUACACACUGAGAGUCAAUAUUAGUAAAUGGUAGAGCUGGAGGUGAAAGGGAAAUGGAGGAGAUUCCUGUGAGCUCACCUAGGAAUCCUGAGCUUCAUUUUACAGAUCCACUAACUGAGGCUCGGAGAGCUUAAGCAUAGUGAACUAGUCUCUGGAGUCACUGUGCUUGGGUUCAGAUCUCAGCUGCUACACUCACUACCUGUGUGACCUUGGGCAUGUGGAGAAGCAUGCAUAUUAUUCCACCGAAAACACCCUCUGGACCUACGUGAAAGGACUAACCUAAAGUCAAGCACAGAGAAGAGAUAGAUAUCAUCAAAUUAGAAAGUACAAUACAACUGUGUUCUCUUUUUCCCCAAUAAACAAUAAAGAAGUGGGGACUACAACCUCAAAGUGAACAAACACAGAGAAAGCAGAGAUCCUAAUAUCUGAUGACUUUGAAAGAUCUUUGAAGAGGAACCCAUCUCAGAAUUCAAGAGAGAUCUGAUUUUAAUUCCCAGCUCUACCAUCAAAAAGUCCGGUCUGCUCCCCAGUGUCUCUAAGUGUAGAGAGAGAAAUUCUUACCUUGGCUAUCAGCUAUCGCCAAACUUACUGUAAUGAAGAAACGAAGUUACAAUUACGACAGGAAUAUCAAAAUGCCAUGAGGAUGCAGGAUUUUAUGAUCUAUUCCAAGAAAUAAGAUGAUAAGGAAAGUUUGUAUGCAGUAGAAAGAAUAUGGGAUUUGGAGUCAAAGUUAUGUCCAAAUUCUGAGUUGACCCUUAAUGAACUGUGUUACCUUAUAAGUCAUUUAACACCUCAGCCUUAUUUUUCACAAUCUUACAAUAUCUACUUCAUGGAAUUAUUAUGAAAUAUCAGAUAAUACAUGUAAAGGGUCUAGAAUUGUGUAAGGCCCAGAGUGGGUACUCAAUGAAGAUUAGGUAUUAUUGAAAAGUGUUAAAUAAAACAUAUGAGGCGAAGAAGGCAGAAUGCAGAACUAAUAUUAUGAUCUAGUUUGUGAGAACUUCAUCCUCCUAGCUCCACGAAUAGAUUACUUACCGUGGAGAGGAACAUAAACUUCAGGAUGUAAGAUCAACUUUAUUUGUUAAUCUUUUUUUUUAACUAUUUAACAGUUUUUUUAAUUUUAACUUUUUUUCAUAAUAGUUUACAUCAUUGUGAAAUUUCAGUUGUACAUUAUUUCUUGUCUGUCACCAUAUAAGUGCUCCCCUUCUUCAUUCCCUAUGCCUAUCCCCCCCACCCCCCUUCC